GAGCCGCUCCCUGUGGCUCAGAACAGCCGUCGCGUCCCUGGCCAGGUUAAACGCACAACACCUCCAGGCGGUUGGAGUAGAAAAACCGAACCGCGGAGAGACCCAGCUCGCUGGCGGCCCUUGGGAACUUUGGGACGCUACACUUGGCAGCCUUCAAAACCUUCUUGCCCUCCAAAGCCUUUGAGGAAACUGUUAGUGAUAAUCACAUGGACCUGGAAGAAACUGCUAGUUUUUCGUCGUGGUUCCUUCGAGAAUGGCUGGAGCCCUUUCGUGACCCACAGAAUUUUCGUCAGUGGCCCAACUGCGGGUCUAUGCCUGAGCUGGGUCUCCACAGCCGCUAGCUGAAGGAAGGUGGUGGUUUUGGGCGGGGGGUUGACUGGGGCGAGAGGUUUCGCGGAGGGUGGUGGGUGGCAGAAUUCCUGGAAGGCACGGGGAGAGGCAGGGCCGCCUGGGCUGUGGCCCCAAGGCAUGGGCCUCCUCUGCCCACGUACGUCUAGAGGAGGCACCGGUCCCAGGGUCAAGAGACUUUCGGUUGACUCAGCCAUCACUUGGAGCACGACUGGGGAUCUUCGUCGCCCCGCCUCACCGGAUUUCACCCUUCUCGCCGCCCAUCUGACCCCAUGCCCACCCACUGCGGUCCCGAUUGCGGUCCACAGAGGUGCUCCGGCGUGCGCGCCUCUCGCCAACCGGGGAUCCUGCAGAAGGGAGGGAGGGAAGGAAGAAAGCGUGGUGUGAAGCAAGCCAUCUUCAGUCUGUGUCAAAAUGACCUUGCAACCCCACACUGCAUGACCGAAGACGCUAGCCGGACAGGUCCUCAAUAGGAAAAGGUAAAGCAGUACCUUGCUUUCACAUUUCACAGUUGCGUUUAUUAGAGAUUAGGGGCAUAAUUUAACGAUGUGCCACGGUCCUUGCCUCCCUCCGCACAUGGAUAACGUCAGGGUCUCUGAAAUUGUUUGAUAUAUAACCAAGAAAUUCUUGCUUCUGUUACAUUCAAUGUACA
rnacentral:lncRNA from 1 species